rnacentral:RNase_P_RNA from 1 species
GGAGUCGGCCGGGCAGUCGCUGGGAUAUUCCUGGAGGAAAGUCCGGGCUCCAUGGGCAGGGUGCCAGGUAACUCCUGGGGGGCGUGAGCCUACGGCUAGUGCCACAGAAAAUAUACCGCCGGACGUACAGUUCGGUAAGGGUGAAAUGGUGCGGUAAGAGCGCACCGCGCACGUGGUAACGCGUUGCGGCAGGGUAAACCCCACCCGGAGCAAGACCAAAUAGGGGAGCGUUUUAGUGUGCCCGCACGAGCUCCCGGGUAGGUCGCUAGAGGUGUGCGGUGACGCACAUUCGAGAUGAAUGACUGCUCUCGACAGAACCCGGCUUACAGGCCGGCUCCCGCU